rnacentral:misc_RNA from 1 species
AACGCAUAUUGCGCCCAAGACCUCGGUCGAGGGCAUGUCUGCGUCAGCGUCGGUAAAUAUCCAUGCUUCCCUCCAGCUUGUUUGGGGUCGGCCCAGCGCUUGAUUGCCGGGCUUGGAAAGCAGAUCUGGCUUUCCCACUGUCCAAGUGGGUUCGCCGAAAAGCAGAGGCUAAAGCAAGGACCCAACAAGGGCUCAACUGGAUAGGUAGCCGCGGUGCCGCAAGGCGCUGCCUACACGAAGUUGAUGCUUGGGGCUUGACUGGCGGCCAGCAGGAAACGAGCGCGCGUGCCGAUGUCAGCAUCUGCUGACAUGGCCGCCGCCGUCAACGAUUCGACCUGACCUCAGGCAAGAUUACCCGCUGAACUUAA